rnacentral:tRNA from 1 species
GCCCUUGUAGCUCAGUCCGGAUAGAGCAGCGGGCUUCUAUCCCGCCGGUCGCAGGUUCGAAUCCUGUCAAGGGCG